UUGUCUCAGUUUAUGGCAUUGGACACACUGAUGGGACACACAGAAACAUCCAUCCAUAUAAAGGGGACAUUUCCAAAGCAGGACUUUGUCCUAAAGGCAGGAUGGGACAUC